GGAGGAGGAAGAGGGCGCCUCGCAGCAGCGGUAGCCCCGCCGGCAUGGCCCCGCGCUGCGCGCCCGCGGAGGCAGCCCACCGCGCCGCGGGGAGGGCGGCGGGCGGGCGAGGCGGUCCAGAGAAAGAGGAACAUCAAUAACAAAGGCAGGACAGCAGCCCUCCUGGCUCCCUCAAAUCAGCAGGACAAGAUCCUGCCCACAUUCAGAAACAAGGAUCAUAUCACAGAUUUGGGCGAGGAGUGUGACUAAAUCAUUCAUUGUGUAUCUUCUGACAUCCCUGACUGCCAGCUGACAGUACCACUCAAAGUUGGUGCCACUGAAGAACAAUAUGGCAGGAACAUUGCAAUGCUGAGGAGAUAUCACCAACCAGCUCUAGCUUAUAAACCUCACAAUAUAGAGUUUUGAAGGCUUUGUCUAUGUGAUGAUGUUUAAAAAAAAAAAAAACUUUAAAAGAGAGAUUAGGUUAGGAAAGAUUCGGUUAAAAAGUCAGAUCUGUAUAACACCAAGAAGAGAAAAGUCAGUUCAGAGAGGCCAUUUUUUAAAAAAAAAAAAAAAAAGGUCAUUAUGAGUUGAUGAUUGUAGAAGUUUAAGACCAGACUAGACCACUGGGAUUUCUAAGUUGGCAUUUUUUGUAAGCUGUGGGGUUUACCUGUAUUAAUUCUUGCUUCUGGUCCAUAGUUCUUUUUUUUCCUUAAUGUACCAAUCUUGAGUUAAAAAUCAGGGUUGAUCUAUUACAGCUGUUGUGGAAUGUUCCAAUGAUUGCUUACAGCCGUUUGUAAAAAUUUGUAACUUUGCCUGUCUUUACAGUACUGUUUGGUCCUGCACUGACGUCUCAGUGUUGUUUUUAUUAUGAAUUUGUCCAUGGAACUACUGAACCUAGUAACUUUAUCAGUAAUGCAUUUACACUGGUGUACUGGAUUUAGCAAGACCUUACAGAGAUCAUUUCUUGGCCUCAGUCCUCUGGAACGUCUCCAGAAACAAAUCAACUUUAGCAAUGAUUCCCACUUAGUAAUUAUACUUAAGAACCUAGCAUUUAAUCAGUUUUUAGUCUGUUUCAUAAAGGCCGUUUUGUUUUUGUAUCCAGUUUGUUCACUGACAUGUCAUGCGAUAUCAAGGGUCUCCCAGACACAACCAAUGUCAUAGAAGUGAUAGAUCAAAAAACUUGUUUUUUUUUUUUUUCCUCUGACUUUAUCAGUUCAUCCAGUAAGAAAGACCAAUGUUCCCCAUAAAUUUUGGCUCAUCUAAUGAAAGACAAAUAAACAACACUACUAGUUUUACCAGUGAAAACUACAGCAGUGUUUAAAAAAUAAUAUAAAAUUAGAUUAAAAAUUUCAGUUCCCAAAUGUAUUGCUGACUACAUCUUUAAACAACCAUUAAAUUACUACGAUUAUUUUACAACAAGUAGUUGACAUUCAGUAUGAGGUCAACAAAGUAUUAACAUUUGCAGGAGGUGUUUCUUUCCCCUGGGACUGCACACGAUGGUACUAUGCCAAAAGGACCAGUAUGUCAGAGGAAGUUGUAAGAACUCGUUUCUUCUCUGUGGAAGUCAACUGAGUCUUAAGUACAAGGUUUACAUUGCUUUCAUCUUUAAUUGCUCAUCCUAGCAGAUGUGUGAGCAGCAACAUUCUGAAUAGCUGCAAGUAGAAUAUUACAAUAAUCAACUUUCACAUGUUAUGAGAGCGCAAAACACAUGAGCGUCCUUUUGCACAAGUCGGAGUCUCCCUUAAACCUAUCUUUCUGAAGCUGUGAAGUGAGCAUACAGUCAUGCUUUAAGUGGACUCUGGAGCAGGCUUAGAGAUAAAACCUACAUUUGGAGGAACAGAAAUGGGACUAAAAAGGCAUGAGAAGAUAUUUCAAAAGGAAAGAAUUUGAUACCUAGUUAAAAAGCCCAUAGUUGAAAGAAAGUGAAACAAUAUUUUUUGACAAUAUUGUUGAGAAGUUACCAGGACAGAGAAUUAAUCUGAAGAAAAGCAAGAACUAGAGUCUUAUAUUCUCUGCAUACACCAGGGAACCUGUGUAAUUCAAUGUACAGUAAGAAUAGAGUGAAAUGCCAUCAGGAACUACCACAGCAGUUGAGCGGAGCACCUCACCACCAUGAAUUGGCUGAGUGGACCACCUCACUGCUGUGAGCUGGCUCAUUUCAGCUACAAGGUAAAAGUCACUUCAGAAAGUUUCCAAAACAAGCACUCUAAAUGUACAUCUAUUUAUCAGCCUUGCUGUGGAUCAUCUUAGGACAAUUUAUAAGAGCAAGCUUUAAACGGUUUUGUUUUGAUACUGAGCAGCACAGGUAUGAGGAAAGCAAAGCAGAAACCACAGUAAAUGAGUUCAGAGAGCUCAUUGCUACUAUUGCUCCACUUUGGGCUGAUUGCCAAAUCAGCCAUAACUGUCUUAAAGAGGGUUUUCAUAAAACGCAUCUAGGCCAUUUGAGCACAACAAUGAAAAAAAUGGAUGUAAGAGUUAUAGCAAACCAAUGAAGGCAGGCAAAAGCAGUGUUUCCAUGUGGAGGUUCUAGAUUAAAGAGCUUCGGAUCUUCGGUGAUUUCAAGAUCAUUUGCCCUAUUCAAAAAUAAUUGCUUCAACAUUUUCAUUGCUUUAUACUAUUGGAUAUUUUAUUAACAAUAUUGUAUUAACAAUGGCAGUGUUAUUUACAGACACAUGUCUCCAGAUCUACUAUAUAUGUUAAAUUCUCUUAGUGAAGAAAGAGGGCUACACCAGAAGCACCACUUUGUAUCUAAGAUAUGUGAACCCAGGAGGGUUGGCAGUUACCAGGCACAGAAAUUAAGAACUAAGAUGAAACAUUUCAUGCCAUCACUGUGUGGGACUGACUGCAUGGACCUUUCAAGCCUAAAGGACACUUGAAGACUGGAAGCCCUAAUCCACAGUUUCUAGUUACUUAGACUUUAAGUUGCAGGCAGAAUCCUCUCAACACACAUGUAACUAUACAGAUGUUAUAUUGCCAAGUGUCAGAGUGGACAAGAACUGUAUGUACUAAUUUAGUGACAUGAUAAUGCAAAUAGUAAAAAAGAAGAGGGUAAGAACUGGUUCUCGGCAUCCAUUCACUGCAAGCCAACUGGGGUGAACAAAGAGGAUGGGAGAAGGAAAAGUGUAAUUUCCUCCUCAAGCAGUUUGUUUUCUUUCAUUACGUCCAGACAUAAGGAACAACAGAGGGUUGGUAAGCAAUAUGGUGUCUGACAGGCAGAAGGUGAAAACUGUUGAUAUAAACAAUGAAAUCAAUCUCCCAUGCUUGCUUUACAAGUUUACAAUCUGAGAUGGACAGAGAGAAAUAGAUUAUGUAUAAAAUACAUGUUCACAAGCCAGAAAAAUAAAGCCCUUGAAAAAAGAGUGUGUUUGACUGAGCAUUUGAAUAUGAUUAAGAUUAGGAUCAUGCUGAAAGCCUUAUGGAUUUCACUGGGACUACAGCAUGUAAACGGCUGCUAAAUGGGAACAUGAUUAUCCAUGUGCUGAAAUAGUUUCCUGAAUCUGACUCUUAACCACUGCUAAAACAUGUAGACAAAUGCUCAGUUUAAGCAUCCAUGACAGAGAGGUACUAAAAGUAAUGAAAAUAUGUGGUUCAUUUAUAUUAAAAGGCUAUGCUUGUCACA